AAAAAAAACCAGAAAAGAAAUAGAAAACAAAACAACUUUGAGCGGUGGAUCACUCGGCUCGUGCGUCGAUGAAGAGCGCAGCCAGCUGCGUGAAUUAAUGUGAAUUGCAGAACACAUUG
rnacentral:rRNA from 1 species